AUUCAAGUAGCCUAUGUGAAGAGCAUAACAUUGAAGCUGUUAAGGAGGUCGGUAAGACCCUUGGAUA
rnacentral:tRNA from 1 species